GCGCGCGCGCGCGCGUGUGUGUGUGUGUGUGUGUGUGUGUGUGUCUUGGGCUGGGGAAAUUCACUGCAACACCCACAC
rnacentral:miRNA from 10 species